rnacentral:lncRNA from 1 species
CGUCAAAUCUAUGACUUGUCGAGACAAGUGUUGCUCUCCAUUUGGGUUGGAAGAGCUUGGAAGGAAUGCAUCUCCUUGAGUAGUGGAAGUGUGGUAGACUCCGGGCGCAAGAUUUGAGUUGGGAAAUGUCAAAUCUGCGUAGAAAUGUGGUGAAAAAGCCCCCGGUUCGAUCGUAGGCCCAUAAAUUUAAAGUAUGGACGGUUGAACUAAUCUUGGACUGAUUUAGGCUACUUGGAAGGCCAGAGGAGUAGGC